rnacentral:misc_RNA from 1 species
UAUCGGAAAGGCUACGCCGGCGACUCUCGUCUAAUGCCUUUCAAAGCCUUCGCGGUCGCCUCUCUCUUUGUCAGCUCCGCUGCUUCUGCCUCCGUUGCUGCCCUUCAAGCCUCCGGCAUCCACAAGGUGGAGGACCUUCUGGAAAUGGGAACUAAAGUGAGGACCGGACUUGGUAUUCCUCCAACGGCAAGAGAGGAAAGAGUAGAUGAUCUUUGAGGAAAGUCUCAAAGUUACAGACGGUACUGGGCUUUAAGAAGCAGAUGGUCUUUACCAUUUUUAAUAAGCGAAGAAGACAGCUUUUUACUUCACUUGGAGAAAGCAGAUGGUUCUUUAUCUUUGGAAUAUGUGACUAAGUGAAGAAGCAUCAAGAAUUUAGAGUUAUGAGUGGUAGGUCUUUAAUUUAGUUGAAUGGCCGUGGAUUUUGUAUUGUACUCUGC